rnacentral:misc_RNA from 1 species
GCAGCUUGCAUGGUUGAUACCUACCUACCUACUUACCAAGAUUACAUUUUAAAAAAUGCACUACGCAAUAUAACAUGUAAGUUAUGUAGGUGUAAGCUGUAAAAAGGCCACUUAACUAACCUUCCUGUAAGUACGUAGAACGCUUAUCGGCAAAGUUAUUUAAAUAAAGAGCAACAUGAACAAUGAUGAACAGUUAUACCUACGAUACGUAUCGAUUAGCAUGGUAUUUUUUGUCUUUUAUCAACCUACCUUAUUAUGACUAUUAAAACGUAAGCGUAACAUUUUUACCCACGACGGAACGGAGCAGAAAAUCCUGUACCCAUCCUUCCUUUCUACAGGUGGUGCCAAAAACAGUUUUUGAUGUAGCUGAUCGUUUAGAAGCAGAAAGACAGGCGCUUGAAGAUGCCGCCCCGAAAAAGAAAAGAGCAUCUGAAUUGUUGCGAGAAGCACAAGCUGCACAGAAAUCUUAAAAUGUUGAAGACGACGUUAUCGAAAAUGCAGAGCCAUCGAAAUGAAGCGGUUAUUAAUUAAUAAAUUAUUAGUAAAACCAAAUGUACUCUGAAUGAUAUUCCAUAAUAAAGAAAUAAGCACAA